GACGAACGCUGGCGGCGUGUUUAACACAUGCAAGUGGAGCGACGAACCGGGGCUUGCCCCGGGGCAGAGCCGCGAACGGGUGAGUAACACGUGGGUAACCUGCCUCAAUGAUUGGGACAACCCGGGGAAACUCGGGCUAAUACCAAAUGUGUUCACUCCUUCUAAGGGGAGUGAGGAAAGGAAGCUUCGGCCUCCGCAUUGAGAUGGGCCCGCGGCCCAUUAGCUUGUUGGUGAGGUAACGGCUCACCAAGGCUUCGAUGGGUAGCUGGUCUGAGAGGACGAUCAGCCACACUGGGACUGAGACACGGCCCAGACUCCUACGGGAGGCAGCAGUGGGGAAUCUUGCACAAUGCGCGAAAGCGUGAUGCAGCAACGCCGCGUGGGGGAAGACGGCCUCCGGGUUGUAAAACCCCUUUCAGUUGGGACGAAGCUUCGUCGGUGAAUAGCCGGUUGGAGUGACGGUACCUUCAGAAGAAGCCCCGGCUAACUACGUGCCAGCAGCCGCGGUAAU
rnacentral:rRNA from 1 species